UCUACAUCAUUCAAUCCUUCUUCUCAAAUAAAACUACUGCACCUCAUUGAGAUACACUAAGUCUAAUAAACCCUCUAUCUAAUAACUCUUGCAACUGAAUCUUUAACUCUUUAAGCUCAUUUGGUGCCAUGUGAUAACGCGCAACAAACACAGAUGGAAUAUCAAGAUAAAGUUCAAUUCCAAACUCCACUUCUUGAUCCGGCGGUACCAAGAUAGCCCAUGUCCCAAGUCGUGUUCACUUAAAAUAAUUUAAAAAACUAGUCAUUUUCUCAACCAUUCCUUUGGACCCAAGUCAAACCAUUUCCAACCAUUUUUACCUAUUCAAAACACAUUUAAACAUGCCAAAAUAUACCAGUUCAAAUACAACCUAUGUGCCUAACCAAUGUGUCACAUAUGACACCACAAUUCAAUGGGAAACAUAAACCAUUCAUGUAAUUCAUUCAAACACCAGCAAUUACCAUAACUUAUACUUACCUAAAAACAUAAUAAGCUAACCAAAACUUGACCGACGUUCUAACAUUUAAUACAUCUAAGUUUCAUACAAUCUCAUUCACAGCCAAAAUACCAAAACAUGAUUUUUAGCUUGCACAUAAACAUUCUAUAUACAUGCUACAAGUAACCCAACUAUAAAACUUCAAAAAUCAACCGAAUUAGGUGACGGUAGGUGCGAGCUCCUUGUUGAUCCGACCGACACGUCUCGAAUGUCCACAAUCUACAAAAAAAUUAGAAUACGGAUAAGUAUAUCAAAUACUUAGUAAGCUCGUACAAUUUAAAUAUCACUUACCUGUAAUCCUAUAAUAUCCAAAACUAAAAUUGAGAUACAAUUUAAUCUAUCAAAAUUCAAUCCACAUCAUUAAAAUAGGCAACAUGCUUGAGCUCAUUCAUAUGAACAUCUAUAAUUAUUUUCAAUACCAAGUAAACCAACUAUACUCCUAUAAUCAAAUCAUAUAAAUUCUUUAAUCAAUUUCACAGAUAAAUUUCCAAGACUUUAAAGGCAACCUUCCCGAUGAAAUUUUGUAAAAUACCUCAUUAUACAAAUAAAAAUAGUAGUGUCUGGUUACGUAAUAGAGUCAACCUACACAAUAAUUUGCGUGGAAAAUGCUUAAUAUUCUAUAUUCUCCAGUUCGUAACAUAUGUAGGAGUUGGGAACCUAAAUCAGUAUUCUCCAAUUCGCAAUAUAUGCAGAAGUUGGGAACCUGGACAAAAAUCACAAGUUUGUAUACGAGCAUUUACUAAUUUCGUCGGGACAUACUGAGGUACAUUAUAAAUCCAGACCAACAACAAUAAAUAUCAAUAAUCUUACUAUAAAAAAUAAAAAACAAAUGAGUAGCUUCCUAAUAUAUGAACUUACUUCUCAAACUGGUAACGAUUUAACUAUUAGGGACGAAUCGACAAAAUUUCCUUUUCCUUGUACGUCCGUUGAGAUUCUUGAUGUAAAAUAUAAUUUAGUUUAACUAACUAAUCCAAGCCCAAGCAACAUAAAUCAACAUUUAAAUCACAUGUCCCAAUUGAAGUUUAUUUAUACUAAAAUCUCUCAACUUUUACAUUUAUCACAAUUUAGUCCCUAAAACCAAUACUAUUAUAAUUCUACAUUUGAGUUUCAAUUUCAAAAUCAACCUCAAUUUAGUCCUCCAGCUGUCCAUUAAUACACAAAAAAUUAGAAUUUUCCUACACAUUUUGAACUUAUUGUAUUUUAGUCCUUAUGUUCAAAACUAACAACUUUUAUUUUACAAACGAGCCUAUUAACAUAUCUAAGAUCCAAAACUAACCAAAUAACCAAAAAAGCUUCAAGAAAAGAUCAAUGGCAACAUUAACAAACUUAAACAGUUUCGCAAAAUAGUCCCUGGGUUAGCUAAAUCAAGCUCCUGAAAUUCCAAAAAUAUAAAAAUUAUAAGAAACAGGCUUGAAUGCACUUACCAAUUGAAGAAACAAAGUUGACAAUAAAACCCUAAGCUUCCCCCUAACAUAUGGCCAUGGAAGAAAAGAAAGAUGAUGAAAAUUUGUUUUUCUUAAAAUAAUUAUAUCAUUAACUAAGUUUAAUCAUCCUUAAAAAAUAAACAAUGUCAUCAUCCAUUAACUAAUGUGAUAACAAUAACCCAUUUGCUUAAUUAAACCCUUAAACACUAAAAAAUCCUAUAAUAG
rnacentral:lncRNA from 1 species